rnacentral:rRNA from 1 species
UACGGAAUGUGCAAACGUUAUUCGGAAUCACUGGGCUUAAAGAGUCCGUAGGCGGCAUGUUAGGUGAGGUGUGAAAUCCCCCGGCUCAACCGAGGAAUUGCGCUUCAAACCGGCGUGCUAGAGGAAGAUAGAGGUGGGCGGAACUGAUGGUGGAGCGGUGAAAUGCGUUGAUAUCAUCAGGAACACCGGAGGCGAAGGCGGCCCACUGGGUCUUUUCUGACGCUGAGGGACGAAAGCCAGGGGAGCGAACGGG